rnacentral:pre_miRNA from 1 species
GUAGUACUCCCUCCAUUCUGAAUUACUUGUCCUAGAUAUGAAUGUAUCUAGAUGUAUUUUAGUUCUAGAUACAUCCAUUUCUACGAUGAGUAAUUUGGAUCGGAGGGAGUACUAG